AAAUACACGCCAAUCCACAGCUAUCCACGUGGUAUUGUUUGUAAACAUAUAAAAUUACACCACCACUGGGGUAUGUUAUUUAUCGUUUGUCGGUGGAGAUCUAGGUAGACGUUACUGGCAAACCUUGAAAAGAAGUUUUUUGGUAUAGAAUGAACUUGAGCCAAUUCAUGUGCAUAAAAAAUGCCAAAUUCACAUUGUCCACAUCCAACCUCAACAAUGGAGCAUGUAAACAAUUGUCCAGAUUCAAAAUAUACCUGGGACCUGGCUGCAGAAAGAAAAGGAUGUCACCGAAUAUUCGAUAACUGUCUCGGUUUACCUAAACAGGACCUAAAAUAUCACUGUCUCAUCAAUCCAUUCCUGAACGAAACUGUGGAGGUUUGUGCUCCUUCUCGGAGGAUGUUCGGUGGGUUUUGUCCAGAAUACAGCACUCGCGCGGAAGGAGUUCAGGAAAAUUUCGACAUCGAUUGCAAAAAGUUCCAAAGUUCAUGUCCAAUAACGUUCAUGUCUACAGAGGCUUACAAAUGUAAGCAUAUACAUGUAGAUACCAUGUUGGAGAUCAAGAGUGCUACACAAUGAUAAACAGACGAACAACACAGUCCGCUACCGAAAAGCCUUUAAAAUCACAUUCUGAAAGGACAUCUUCAACAAGCAGUUCAGAUACCAAAACAAAUGCCGAACAUGCUACCUACGUCAUGUCUAUUGUACUUGGAACGAUUGCACUGGUUGUUGUGGUCUUAAUUUUUAUGUUGACGUUGUGGUACUGCUCAAGGAAGCGGAAACAACUUUGCAAAAGGAGAAAUGCAAAGAAUGUGAAAACAAAGGAAGAAGAGAUGCGACGAGAAAAUGCAGACUAUUUGACUGGUAAUGAUCAGCCUGAAUCCUAUUCCUACCUCGUUUCUAAUCCCAACAAUUCUGAUGAAUGCGAAAGAGAUAUUCAUUGUGAUUAUACAAAACAGGCAUCAGCUACCAUAAUACUUGAUGAUGGCGUAUUCAGCAAUGGUAUAUCAUGCCUUGUUCAUAAAUCAAAUAACAGCAAUGCAAGUACAAAAGGGGAACCUUCAGAUGGAUGACCUAUCGCCGUGGACUGUAUAAUUGCAUUAUUUCAUUGUGAGAUAAACAUUUGAAGUUGUCUACAUAGAUUUCUAUAUUUACUUUAUAAAACAUUAUGUCAUUGUUUUAACUUUAGGUUCAUUAUGUCUACAUACAUGUAUCAUUUAUUGAAUAUUGAAUGUAGAUAUAUCAAGAUGUUUUGAAUCAUCAUACCCCAGUGUUGUAUGACUAUGUUAGAGAAAAGGCUAAAUAGGUUUAUCCUGUUGCCCAAUCCCAUUCACUAUUACACAAAACAUUUUUUUCAAGUUUAUCAUGCUAUAGAAAUAAACAACAUUUUGCAGUAAAAGUGAAAUAUCGUGAUAUGUAUAGUGUAUGCUUACUCCUCAUAGGCACUACAGUACGGCCAACACGGAUCCCGUAAUUUCCGCACUUUCCCGGCGGGAUAGAGCUACCACGGUAUAUCUCAGGUAGCCCUGCAUAUCCCGCGCUCCCCUGCGGUCCUGCUGUCCUCGCCGCGGUCUCACCUGUAAAUGAUUAAUACCAUCAACAAACGCAAGUUAUCUCCCGUUAACGUAAAUUAUAAAUAUAUCAAUUGCCGUAAACAUGUGCAUGCAUCGCUUGUACAAACACAUUUUACAAAAAAAUUCUCAUGUCACCUUUAUUGAAUCAUACAUUCAAUAUAAUGGUAGAUUACCAUAUACCAUUGUCGGAAGAUUACCAUAUACAAGUGCAUAUAUAUACCCUUUACCCGUAAACAGCAAAGUUAACUUUACGAAAACCGAUUAUACCUGUUAGUAUCAAUCGCAUAUUGGUGGUUUCAUAGAUUGUUUUUCAGGAAUUUAAUUAUAUACAAUGUAUUUGAACAAAUAUUUAAAAAAACAUAAAUUUGUAUUAAAGUAGGAAAAAGAAAACCUUGCAUCAGCAAAUUCUUUAUAAAAUUAGAGAGAGAGAGAGAGAGAGAGAGAGAGAGAGAGAGAGAGAGAGAGAGAGAGAGAGAGAGAAUACUAUUGAACAUACCUGACUGUGAAGAAACGGUCAUGGGUAUGUGUAUAUCUGUUACAUAACACUUCCUGUCUGCUUCAACGCCUCAGACAUCGAUCAGCACACACUUUACCCGUAAAACAGCAAAGGUAACUUCACGAAAACUGCUUUUCGCACAUUAUCAAUCACAGAUUGGUGGUUUCAUAAAUUGUUUUUCAGGAAUUUAAGUCCAUACAUGUAUUUGUACAAAUAUAAAAAAAACAUGUAUAACACAGAUAUUAAAGUAGGAAAAGGAAAGUUUAGCAUCAGCAAACUCUAUAUUAAAUUUAAGAGAGGAGGUGGUGGUGCUGGUGAUAAAAUGUGUAAAGCGAGGACAAUUUUUAACCAUUUGACAAAAAUCUUACGUCUCCAUAAACGUGACCCAUAGCAUACGACAGAUGUAGAUACAAAACAUCAGAUUAGAGGGGACAAGUGGUGUGAGGACAUGUUUUCAUGAAUAUUCUCUCUCAAAACCAUUUUUUCACAAUUCACAAGAGAACAUUAAAUAGGUGACCCUAUAGCUAUACCUAACACAGUACAUAUUUGCCUUUACAAUAACAUGCGUGUAUUUUCUUCUAGACAUUGCGAAAACGUCCUCAUUUAACAUGUUUCAUUGUCUAGAGAGGAAGAGAGGGUAUACUAUUUGUUACUGCAGUAAUAAGUUUGUAAUAGCGAGCGAAGCUCGUGUCGCGAACCGAAACAACGAGUUCGCUCCAAUGAUUACACAUAUGAGUCACGUGAUUUGCUCUUCAUCAGCUGAAAAAAGAUGAGUAUUACCCAUAAUGCUUCUGGAAAAUUGUCGCCGUCACUGUGGUAUACUUCAUUGACAAUCCCGUAAUUAGAAUAAUUAGAUUGUUUAGAAAGUAUCAUAAGGGUUUUUAAAUUCCAGACAAGCUUUCUCAUAGCUUCAAACGUUUUGUUUUUGCUUGGUUUGAGAGAGGAAGAAAAAACAUUGCAGCUAAUAUGACGUCACAAUGUAACUGUUGACAUCCACCGCGUUAUAUUUCCCGCAUUAAAUGAAGAGGCGGAUAAAAUGUCUAUAAAUCGUGUUGCAAGAUGUUAAUGGCUUCGCUCGUCUCAACGGUCACACCGUACAUUUUAACCUACGUGAAAUAUAUUAUAAACAAAUUAGCUACGAGUCUGCGACUCUUCUGUUUUGAGAGGUAAAAUUGCGAGCAAUACUUUGAACAUGUUUUUGGUGUGCUCACGACUGUACGUGCGAAUAUGGGCACAAGGAGUUAUGUGUACUAUUUACAUGUGAAAUUGUUAACUACUGGUAUUUGUAAAUUUGAUAUAAACUGUUUUUGAUACAAAGUAAGGCAAACGUUUAUUUUGUUACAGUUUCACAUGGAAUUUAUAGAAGUGUAGAUGUGUGCGAGAUUAUAUGUGCGUGACUGUAUGCAUUGCGUAAACUGAACAGAUGAAUAAACUUCGUAAUAUUCCCUGGUUUGAGAUCCGCCUAUUUUUUGAUACUGGAACACAUCAGAAUACUACCCGUCACAGUGAAACUCCGUCCCUAAAUUACUAAACACGAGAUUCAAGAUUGCGGAAAACGAAACAAACACCUGUGACACCGAGGACGUUGUCCAAGAACAUGAAGUACAGGGCAUUCAAAAGAUACCGUUAGAUAGAGAACAAUGCCAUAAGAAAAUGACACCGAAAGGUCAGUUGUUGAAGAUUGAAACUCUCAAUUCUGAAUUUAAGACAUCUGUCAAUAAGUGGAGGAAACAACCCAACAGAGUCAUGGUUUUAAUAACUGAUAAAUCAUCAGAUCUUGAAGUUUUAAGAUUUGAAAGAAAGAUUUUUGAAGCACCAUAUGUGAUCUUAGAACUACAUUUGACAAAACCUGUGAUUUAUCCAAAGGUAACAACCCGCACACCAUUUUUGGAAUAGGUGAUCUGAGCAUACAAAAUAACCAUAUCACUGUGUUUCUUGAGUGUUCAAAAACUGAUAGGUUUGGGAAGUAGGUCACGAUUGUACGGAAUUGUCAUGGUUCAGUUUUUUGCCCAGUUCCGGCUAUGACUAAUUUUAAGGACGCAAGAGCUGGUUUGGAUGAACCAUUGCCCCUAUAGGUCUAGAUAGCAUAGGUGCUACAAGUAUCAUUUUAUUCAGAAUAGGGGAUGUGCCAGUGGCAGCAGGUAAAGGGGUUUAUGUGAUGAAAUCAAAAUAGCUGGAAAAUGGGGGUAUAAUGCGUUCCAAGCUUAUAUUAGAUCGUCACUUACGUGAACAUCUCUUUUAUGUUAAUCAUUCACUCUGUGAACGUUUAUGAUGUGUUAGAUUUAUACAUAUUAAUGCAUAUUAUAGGGAUCCCACAACUUAACGAUAUCAAGGAAUGGAUAGUCGGUUUGUCAAUUAUAAAACGGGCAAUGAAAGCAGCACGAAUUGCACCAGGAGGACAGAAUAAAAGAGGAAUAGAUAUUCAGUGACAAGGGUAUGGGAGGUAAACUUCAUCGACCUGAUUGGCAAAGAUAGAUCUAAUUAAGUUGGACGUGUAAUUACAGUCCAGCAUCUUCAUUGAGACUACGCUGGUUUGGUCCUUCCCUUUUCAUGCAGACACGCUUAUGUUAGAACUAUGGAACAAGCAAGGAAUAGACUGAAUAGGAAUUUGAUUGCAGGGGUAUCACUCACGCUUAAUUCAAUUCAAGGGACAUUUGAGUAUUUUACUGAUCGGGGAAACGAAAAGAAUUACCUUGUAUAUUGUAUAUGAUUAUCACAUGAGUGAAGGAUUCUAAACAGUGACAAAGUGGCCAUUUAUUAUUUGAAGGUUCCUACCCUUGUCGUAUGUUGGUGGACAACCUCAUAGAAUUUUCUGCAUGCAGAGGUUUGUAUUUUAUAUCAACAAUUUCAAUAAGGUUACAAGUUACAGUUUUGAAUACAAUAUAUGUUGAUUGUGCUGGUAGCUUGAUUGUGAUUACCCAGCAGUGUAUUUGCCGUUAUGGACGAUACAUGUUAAUUAAGGAUGAACCCUGUUAAAAGGUUACUCCAUAGUGUAUAUGGUUGUAUAUAUGUUCAAGUUGUUUUGGCGACUGUGACCAAUAUCUUCCAAACAAUAAAUUGUAAAAUGC